GAGUGGUUAGUUUGGGGUAACAGAGGAAGCGACUCCUUCACAGAUAAGCAGGCAGUGCAAUGUAUGUGCCUAGUUAUUCUCCUUUUUGGUUCAAGUUUUGCUGAGAAAUUCUUUUGCAGACAGAUAACAUUUAUUUUGCUUUCCAGAGACACACACAUGCUGUUUCAUAAGGAUACGCCUGAUUUCCAGAAAUAACCAUGUUUUUGUGGCUUAAACUCUUAGCAUUUGGCGUUGCGUUUCUGAGACAGGAUGCUUUUGUCAAAGGAGUUGAAUCAGCAGCGACUACACCUGCUACCACAGCAACAACUGAAGAGUCUUGUGACUUCAGCAUAGCAAGUAUAAAAGAUGAGAAUAAUGUGGCUGAAGUUACACUGGCAAGUCUCACAAAAAACAGAGAAUAUGCUAUUUUGGAGACUGACAAGAUCUUUAGUGUGAACUCCAGUACAGUAAAACUUCAGAGAUGCAUGAGAUACAAAGUUAUAAAUUGCAAAGAAUACCUUAUUAUUCCACCUGAGAGCAGCAAGAAUCCUUUCAAAGUUGAGGAUGAAACCAGCACAUCUGCAAAGUUAUGUUGGGAAGACUCACUUGCCUGUGCUAAUGUGACUGCUAAUGUUAGCUGCAAAGAUUCAACUAUAGUAUUUAAUCAAACUUGUAAAGAGCUGAACAAUUUAUCACCCAACCGUGAGUACAACUGCAUUGGUACCCUAAGUGUUUUUGAAAAGGAAUUUGUCAGCCAAAAGUUCAACAUAACAACAGAUUAUGGUGGUAAGUGUAACGUUUAUUUUGCUUUAUGUUCCACAUAUUUCUGGAGACCCCUACUAUGAAUCCUACUAUCUGUGUUUCCUGGAGUUGAAUAUAUAUUUUGAGCAGCAUGCUCGCCACUCUUAGGUUCUC
rnacentral:lncRNA from 1 species